rnacentral:lncRNA from 1 species
UCUUACAGGGUUUUUUUUGGAACUUGAAGGUUUUCAAAUUUUAUUUCAUUUUGAAGGAGUGAAACUCCUCAGAGUCUGGUCUUGUGUUUUCAGAUGUGUUUCUCUGCAGUGCAAAUUUCACAUCAGGACGUGCCAUCAGAGGUGGGAUCGGUGAGGAGCCCAUGGCCGGGGAGGACCGAUGCGAGUGCGUGCCAAGGGCCGCCGGCUGCUGACCCCCCUGCUUUGGAGAAGCUCAGGGCGCCAUGCCCGCUUUGAGGGGUGGCUCCUUGUGCACCUGGACCUGAGGCCGGGGAUCCCACCCUCAGAGGGCCUGCCUCCCUCUAGCAAGCCCUGGCACCCACCUCAUUGUACCAUUAACUUCUGACAGCCAGGCGAGGUCCACUGGCUCCUCGUGGGUGUCUGAGCGGGAGGAAGUCUGUGGACGUUUCCGAGCUGAAGUCUCCUCAAGGGGUGAGGCUAAUAAGAAUUUCUGAAAUAACUUUUGUUACAUUUGGCUGAAAACAAUGAAUGUUUUGGGCUUAAGCGACAGGAUCAAUGCCUUCUUUCGAAAAGCAAGCCAUCCUUAGCUGUCCUCGCCAACGUCGACGGGCGCCACGGUUCCAAGGACAAGAGCGGCCGGGGUUGGCGCUGCUUUGAGGCCUCCAGGAGCCACGUGUGCUCAACAUGCUGCAGCUUGUAGUAAAAGUCCAAGUUCUAGCUAUUUAGCGUCUUUGUGUGUUUGGGUCAGAAGGCACAAACUUUGACGGUUUUGUUGAGCUAGCAGUGUUUCAGCGCGGGCGUUGGCGAAGUGUAGAUGUGUGGAUGGCCUUCAUGCCCUAUCGAAAGGGUUAUUUGUUUAUCACAGAGCCUGUGUGGGUUUUCCACUGAGAGAAGAGAGAGCUGCCUGAGUGAACACGGAGUCUAUUAGCCGGUAGUUAGACUGUGUCACAAAGCAGGACUGUUUCCUCCAGAGCUGCACUGGCCAACCCCAUCGAAGGCCAACCCCAUCGAAGGCCAACCCUGCCAGUUUUAUAUCGAGCACAUUGUGACUUCCCUCUGCCUGCAACAAAAGUCAUCGUUGACAUGACUAAUGACGCACCCGAAAAACAGUGUCACGCUUAACUUGAAUAGAGGAAAUUAAUCAAAGGAAACUGUAAUAAAAGGACAGUAAUUUAUAAUAGCA